rnacentral:misc_RNA from 1 species
GGAAAUCCAAAUCACUGAAAGAACCACAAGCUGGCAACAUCUUUAUAGCCACUUUUACGUCGUGAAUCAUCCCCUUGUAAACACUUCCGAAUUUUCCUUCUCCGAUCUUUGAAGAUGGAUCAAAAUUUUGUGUAGCCUCUAUAAUGUCAGAGAAAGAUAUUGAGAAGAAGUUUUUGAUACAAUACUCAUCGGCAUCAUCUUGUACCAAUUUUCUAAAUCUGUUAACUUGUUUGAUUGCAUUAUCACGCUCUAUCUGCAUCUCAUCCCUCUGCUUCCUAAAGGAUAUUAGGA